AUGGUUUAAAACAACAGAAAUUUAUUAUCUCACGGUUCAGGAGACUAGAAGUCCAAAAUCAAGAUGUUGGCAGCACUGGUUCUUUCUGGCACACUCUGAGGGAGACAUGCCUUUCUCCCAGCUUCCAGUGUUGGCUUCCAUCUUUUUUUCCCUUGACUUGGGGCUCCUUCAACCCAAUAUCCGCUUCUAUCUUCACGUGACCGCUUUCUUCUUCUUCCUUUUUUCUUCCUCUUCUUCUCCUUCUUCUUCUGGCCAUGCUUGUGGCAUGUGGAAGUUCCUAGGACAGGGACCAAACUUUUGCCACAGCAAUGACCCAAGCCACAGCAGUGACAAUGCCGGAUCCUUAACACAUUUGGCCACUGGGGAACUCCUACCUGGCCUUCUUCUCAUAUCUCUCUGUGUAUUCAUUUCUGUCUCCUACCAAAAUGCUCUCAUUGGAUUUGGGCCCCUCCCCAGUCCAGUUUGACUCCACCUGGAUUCUUAGCUAAAUUACAUCGGCAAAGACUUUAUUUCCAAACAAGGUCACAUUCUGAGGUUCCAGGUGGACAUGAAUUAAGUGGGGUUAGGGAAACCACUCAACCCACUACUGGCAAUUUUCCAACACAGAAUACAUGGUUUCACCAAAAGAUGUAAGCGCUAUUGAUCAUAACAGCCCCAAAGUGAAAAUAGCCCAAAGUUUCAACAACAGGUUGAUGUAUAAACACAAUGACACAUUCACUGAUGAAAUAGUAUGCAGCAAGGAAAAAGAACAAGCCCACUGGUAAGCGUAACCCACAAGGGAUCUCAUCAACACUAAGCAAAAGAAACAGGGUCAGAAUUCCCUGGUGGCUUGGUGGAUUAAGGAUCUGGUGUUGUCACUACUGUGGCUCAGGUUACUGCUAUGGUGCGGGUUUGAUUCCUGGCCUGAGAACAGAAGCAUGCCAUAGAUGUGGCCAAAAAAGAAAAAAAAAGCGCACAGUUGCUGUUUGUAAAUUACACUUUGAUUGACAAGAAAGACCCUGGGGGAGUUCCCAAUAUAGCUUAGCAGGUUAAGAACCCAACUAGGAUCCAUGAGGAUGGAGGUUCAAUCCCUGGCCUCACUCAGUGGGUCAAGGAUCUGGCAUUGCCACAAGCUACAGCACAGGUCACAGAUGGGGCUCAGAUCUGGCAUUGCUCUGUGGCAUAGGCGGGCAGCUACAGCUCCGAUUCGACCCCUAGCCUCGGAACUUCCAUAUGCUGCCCAUGUGGCCCUAAAAAGAGAAAAAAAUAAAAUAAAAUAAUAAAAGCUUGAGACAGAAUGUUUCGGGGUGUUCUGGGACAUUCCAGAUGAUCAUGGAAGGGCCCAGAAUGUUGCAGAACAUGCCAGGUGGAGGGAAUGUGUAGGACCAAGCCAGGUGCCAGAAAGAGCCUGAGAGACAGAGACUAGACCACAUUGGCUGGGCAGACGUGGGCAAGGCUUGAAGCUAGGAGGGAGAGUGUUAACAAAGAUAAAUUGAGAGCAGCCUCCUCAGUGUGUGGGACACAGCUGUGACCGAGACUGCUACAGUGUCGCAUCUGGCAGAGGGAACAUUUAUUAAACCAAUCAUCACACAAGCAAAGAAGCAAUAACUUAAUUGUCAACAUGAUAGAGGCUUGAGUUAGGACAUAGUGAUUUAGGGGGACUGGGCUGAGCCAGGAGGUCAAGGAGGACAUUCAGACUGAAGAGCUGGCCAGGAAGAAAGUAGAGCCUUCCAGCCAGAGGGAAGAGACUGUGUGGGGGGAGUGUGCCAGGAGCCGCAUGGAGCCUUGUGGGACUGGGUGUGAAGAGGAUGGUGGCACCAUCAUGUGACACGGGAUCCCUGGAGGCUUCAGCUUCCCUACUGGAUUCACACCUGGCCCCAAGCAGGGACCUGAGCAGUCCCCAGCUGGGAUCUGGCCUGAACUUCCUCCCUCACAGGAGGGAAAGACAUGAGUCCCCUUCCUUCCCUCCAAGUGUUUACAGAGUGUCUCCAGGGACACCUCCCUCCCUCCCUUCCCAUCCCUAGGCCCAGAACUCAAGCCAGUCACCAGGGAACCAGGACCGCUGGUUUCCAUGACAACCCUUACUACCCAGACACAUAGGCACUCCUGCCUGUUGCCAUGACACCAGCCACCCAUCCACCCUCCAUCAGGUCUGCAUGGGAGUUUGAGAGGAAGGUGGAGGGAAGGGCAGAAAGAGUGGUUUCCCAGAUGUCUCACCGAGCCUGGGGGCAGAGGAGGAAAGAGGCUCAGAGAGCUGCGUUGUCAGGACUUAUCUGUAGGUCAGCUCUGUGGGCCUUUGCCCCUGAGAGGAGCUUCAGAUGGAGGUGAAGGGCUCCCACUCUCCUAAGGCUCCAGAAGAGACUUGGCUUGGCACUCAGGGCCCCUCCCCCAGGGUGAUGUGAGUAGGCAUUACUUUUCUCUGAAUGCACACACGCACCUCCAAAACACACACCCAUGCACCUGGGACACCCUCCCCUCUCCCAGGAUCCUACCCAUUCUGCAAAGCCCAAGUCAGCUGCCACCUCUUCCAGGAAGACAUCACUCACCACCUGCUUAGAAGGGACUCUUCUCCCACUUCCACACACUCACAGCACUCAUGGUUUCUACCCACAUCAUCUGUCAUUAUUCGUUCCCCAUCUAUGAGGCAUCUACUAUGGGCCCGGACCUGGGCUAGUCACCAGGAUUUCAAGAAUGAAUGCACUAGGCACGCAGGAGCAAACAAACAAAAAAAGUAUACCCUUGCAGCUCAGUCUUGAGAGAGAGGAGGGAGGACAAAGAGACAGGGAUAAACCACAACUUUUCAGUUCCAAGAAGCCCAACACAAAUUGGCUUAAGCCAAAACUCAAGGGAUGAGAUGACUUCAGGCACAGCUUGAUACAGGACUUCCAGCAAUGGCAUGAAGACACUGUCUCUCUCCAUCCCUUUAUCUUUAGACUCACAUCCUCUCAGCUCGACAACCUCAUUUAACAGAGCAUGACUUUUUCUCAAUAAAUCCCACCAUUACUCAAGGAGGCUUGGGUCAUGCUGCUCAACUUCCCCUGAGCCACACAGGUUUGAUCAAACCAGACCAAAUGUCUCUAAGAAAAGGGGCCAGGCGGAUUCCUACCAAGUCUGUGAUGGCAUUCUUUUUUUUUUUUUUUUUUUUUUUUUUUUUUUUUUUUUUUUUUUUAUCUUUUUGCCAUUUCUUGGGCCGCUCCUGCAGCAUAUGGAGGAUCCCAGGCUAUGGGUCUAAUCGGAGCUGUUGUUGCCAGCCUACACCAGAGCCACAGCAACUCGG
rnacentral:lncRNA from 1 species